rnacentral:tRNA from 1 species
GGUCGGAUGGUGUAGUUGGUUAUCACGUGAGUUUAACACGCUCAAGGUCCUCAGUUUGAUCCUGGGUUCGAUUA